UAUGAUAUUCUAUAAUUUUCUUGUCUACAUCGUUGUGAUCUCAUUAUUCUUUGUUUUGGUCAAGUAAUUGAGGAUGUUUAAAUUGUUUGCAAGAACUACUUUCAUUAUCUAUUUGAGGCAUACUUCGUGAACCACAUGGAUUCAAGAAAGUGAUAUAGGCAUUGUUUCUUUCGUUUGAGCACUUCUAGCCAACCCGUAUCACUUUUAUGCCUAGUAACCCCUUUGUGCCUUUUAUGUAAGCCUUUUUAUUUCGUUCUUUACCCAAUUCUCCUCACCUUAAUCUAUCAUAUGUUUAUCCUAUACCCCUCUAAGGAGUUUUGUAGAGUAUUUUCGUUGUUAUGGAAUAAUUGCACAAAUUGUUCAAACAUGUGGAAAGUAAAGGAUACUAUUUCAAAACAAAAACAAACAAAAAAAAAAGAAGCUAAUUUCAAAGCCUUUUCAACUCGAGUUAUUAAGCUCUAGGAGUGUUUUAAAUUUAAUGCCCUAAAGCUAUCUAGCUUGGGAAUCAUUGGGCUAACACUCACUACAUGGGUUGAUUAGAAAGCUAAUGGUGUGAGGAAAAAAAAAAUUGUGAAAAAAAAAAAUUUCUGAAAAGAAAAUUGAAGACAGUAUCAAUAUGAAGUUUCGUGCUCAAAGUGCAAGAUGUUAUCAUUUUCAUGGAAAGCUCUAUGAAUUCCUUAGAAUUUGUUCAUCCGUAUCUUUUUCUUGUUUCACCCAUCACUCUAAGCCCCAUUACAACCUUAAGUCCUACUUGAUCCAAGGAGAAGUGUGGUUCCUCAUGUGGAGAAUAGGUGUGGAAGGACUAUGGUCAGAUGGUUUGAAUGUUUUCAAGUAUGCGAUAUCUUUUCAUGAGAUCUUUUAUAUUUUUCAUGUGCCUUUAUUUCACUUAUGUGAGUACAUCCUAUUGCUUUGAUUCCUCUCACAUAUUUAUGAGUGAUAGUAACUAGUCAAAUUUCGAGUGUUUUUAUUGGAGUGAACAUCCUUGAUGAGAUUUGAAGUUGAAGCUUGUUCUUAUUUAGUUAUUUAACUCGUGUGAAGCUUAAGUCGUGGGUUAUAUUAAUGUUGGCUAUUUCACACACUACAUCUAAGUUGUUCAAUUAAAGUUUGGUUAACCCUUUGAUAAUGUCUUGAGUUAUUGUUGCUUAUUUCUUGGAAGUUAACUAACGGUUGGUGAUUAUCUCUGAGAUCAAUAUUGGGAAGUUAGUCGAUCGCUUGUUUGCGUUGAGUCUUUGUUCUUUUGUUUUUAAUUUUCGUUUUCUUUCACUUAAGGACUAGCAAAAUAUAAGUUGUGUGUAUUUUUUAAGUCCAUAAAUUUACACAUUUAUGUACUCUUUAUACUUAGUUUUUGUAGGAGAAUUUGAUUUAAAAAGGACUUAUUACUUUAUUUUCUCAAUUUUCAGCUUUUCAUAGCAAGUAAUGGUUUUCAAUGGAAAUACGACUUUUUGGUGGAGUUUUAGUACAAGACUAGUUGGAGAUGAAAUCUAAGAUCUUGAAGAUGAUUGUGGAAUUUUUCUAGAAUUUUUGGAGCAGCCAAUGAGAGUAGUCUUUGAAGUUGAGUCAGCAUAAGGUGCAAUCCUGUCAAAACUGUGUUGCUGUGGAAGAAUGACUAUUUGAAGACUUUCUCCUCAAGGCGUGCGAUAUAUGGCUGGAAAGAUAAGCCAAAGACCUACAAUUUACAUAUUUUUGCCGAAUUUUCUUGAAGGACGAAUGACCCAAACGUGUAUGCAAAGUAACUGAUGUGUUAUCCCAGUCCAAGUAGGAGGAUGAGUCAACUACUUACCCAUUUUGGAUUUAUAUUUUAAUUAUGUUUUUCUUUAUUUUUGGGCUGUUGUAAAAGCCCCGCUACAGUAGGAACAGACGUGUGGUGUUUUAUUUAAGCAUGAGAAACAACUCCUUUGAGGGUUACACACUCAAAGACUAUGAGAAAUUGGAGACGCCGGAAGAGUACCGCAAUUGGCUAAGUUUUAUUGUUUCUUCCUUGUGUUUUUGCUUAUUAUGUGUAACUAAUUUUCUUUUGCUAGGGCAUGAUGUAAGCCUAGUAUGAUAAUCUAGUUUUCUUAUUUUACAUAUCUAUUGAUUGC
rnacentral:lncRNA from 1 species